rnacentral:rRNA from 1 species
GACGAACGCUGGCGGCGUGCCUAAUACAUGCAAGUCGAACGCAGUGGGGACGGGUGAGUAACACGUGGGUAACCUCCCAUCAGAGGGGAUAACACUUGGAAACAGGUGCUAAACCGAUACUGAUGGAUGGACCCGCGGUGCAUUAGCUAGUUGGUGAGGUAACGGCGGACCAGGGCCACGAUGCAUAGCGGAGCUGAGGUGGUGAGCGGCCAGACUGGGACUGAGACACGGUCCAAGCGCCUACGAGAGGCAGCAGUGGGGAAUAUUGCACAAUGGGCGCAAGCCUGAUGCAGCCAUGCCGCGUGUAUGAAGAAGGCCUUCGGGUUGUAAAGUGCUUUCAGCGGGGAGGCGUUACCCGCAGAAGAAGCACCGGCUAACUCCGUGCCAGCAGCCGCGGUAAUAC